CCUUGUCACCCUGAACAUACCCCAUCUCCUCUGCUUGUUGAAAGGAAGCAGGAUGAAGCCAGGUUAGCACUUGGAUGGGAGAUCAGUAGAGAAUACCAGGGAUGUCCAGGGA
rnacentral:rRNA from 1 species